UACGGAGGGUGCGAGCGUUGUCCGGAAUCACUGGGCGUAAAGGGCGCGUAGGCGGCGCGGAUAGUCGGCGGUGAAAGCCCGGAGCUCAACUCCGGGUCGGCCGUCGAUACUUCCGGGCUUGAGCACUGUAGAGGCAGAUGGAAUUCCGGGUGUAGCGGUGGAAUGCGUAGAGAUCCGGAGGAAGACCGGUGGCGAAGGCGGCCUGCUGGGCAGUUACUGACACUGAUGCGCGACAGCGUGGGGAGCAAACAGG
rnacentral:rRNA from 1 species